UUUCAAUAAAAAACUAUGUAAAACAAUGACAAUAUAUUUGUACAUUCAAACAUUAUCUUAAAACAAUUUGCUAACCAAACAUCGGAUUUUAAACGAAAAACGUUCUUUUCCAAGUACUUCAAGUACUUGGCAACUGGUCAGAAUGGUCCACGUGGUCUGGUUGUGCGGUUACGUGUGACGUGGGUCUAAGAAAGAGUUCCAGAACCUGCACUAAUCCUAAACCAGACCGAUUUGGGGACUAUUGCGUCGGGGAUCCCUUCGAGAAUACAGUUUGUCCUCAAGAACCAUGCGCCAACAGAAAUGGAGGCUAGUCGAGCUGGGGUGCGUGGCAAAGCUGUUCAGUCACGUGUGGAGUGGGUCAGAAGCUGAGGAGCAGGACCUGCACCAGCCCGAGUCCUUCCGCCUACGGCAAGAGUUGUGAGGGCAACUCGCAGACCUCCGCCGUAUGUGUAAACACACAAUUUAUACUCCACGCAUGAAGAGGGCAAGACUGAUGGAUGGAUGGAUGGAAGGACAGACUGACUGACAAUGCAGUUUCUAUAUGCCUCCCUUUUGGGUCAUGAGAAAUACAGAAAGCAAAUGGAUACUAGAAAAUGGAGCUGAAUUGUUCCAAGGACACAAAUAACAACAACUACACAAGACAUUUGUUAACGGAAUUUGUGAACACUGACUAGAAAAAAAAGCAUUAUCUCACCAAAUCGAUUCUUGACUAACACUGGGAAGUCUGUCUCUAAGGGCUCUCCUAUUCCGUAUAUGUUCUCAGCCAUGACCCUGAACUUGAACUAGACUCCAGUCUUCAGUCCAGUGACUAUAAUGGA